UUACGGCCAUAUCGCGUUUAAACAUCGGAUCCCGUGCGAUCACCGACGUUAAGCAACGUCGAGUUUGGUCACUACGUAGAUGGGUGAGCACAUGUAAAUACCAGAUACCGUAAG